CUGGAUAUAGCUCAGAGGUAGAGCAGCGGACUCAUCAUCCGUAGGUCGCGGGUUCGACUCCCGUUAUCCCAGCCA
rnacentral:tRNA from 1 species